rnacentral:rRNA from 1 species
AUGAGGGCCUUAUUCUGGAAUAUUAGAGGGUCCGGUGCUAGGGGGCGCCGUGACCAACUGAAAGAUUUGGUUCGUUCUAACUCUAUUGACUUUGUGGGGCUGGUUGAAACUUUUAAGGAUUCCUUUACCCCCAGUGAGCUUUCUGCUAUCGUGGGUAUGGAUAGAUUUCAGUGGCAAUCUUUACCGGCUUCGGGCCACUCUGGUGGGAUUCUGAUCGGUUCUAAUAAGGAUAUUUUUGACUUUGUUGCUUUUGAUCAUGGGUUUUAUUGGGCUAGUGUUGUUCUCUCGCAUAGAUCUAUGAAUGCCCUCUGUGAAUUUAUAGUUGUUUAUGGGCCCGCGGAUCACUCCUUUUCGCACCUUUUCCUUGAUGAACUUUCGAUCAAGCUUGAGUCCUGUUCUCUCCCGACGGUGAUUGGGGGAGACUUUAAUCUUCUG